rnacentral:rRNA from 1 species
AUUGAACGCUGGCGGCAUGCUUUACACAUGCAAGUCGAACGGUAACAGGCCGCAAGGUGCUGACGAGUGGCGAACGGGGGAGUAAUGCAUCGGAACGUGCCCAGUCGUGGGGGAUAACGCAGCGAAAGCUGCGCUAAUACCGCAUACGAUCUAUGGAUGAAAGCGGGGGACCGUAAGGCCUCGCGCGAUUGGAGCGGCCGAUGUCAGAUUAGGUAGUUGGUGGGGGAAAGGCUCACCAAGCCAACGAUCUGUAGCUGGUCUGAGAGGACGACCAGCCACACUGGGACUGAGACACGGCCCAGACUCCUACGGGAGGCAGCAGUGGGGAAUUUUGGACAAUGGGCGCAAGCCUGAUCCAGCAAUGCCGCGUGCAGGAAGAAGGCCUUCGGGUUGUAAACUGCUUUUGUACGGAACGAAACGGUCCUGGUUAAUACCUGGGGCUAAUGACGGUACCGUAAGAAUAAGCACCGGCUAACUACGUGCCAGCAGCCGCCGUAACAC